GAUGAACGCUGGCGGCGUGCCUAAUACAUGCAAGUCGAGCGAACAGACGAGGAGUUUGCUCCUCUGACGUUAGCGGCGGACGGGUGAGUCACACGUGGAUAACCUACCUAUAAGACUGGGAUAACUUCGGGAAACCGGAGCUAAUACCGGAUAAUAUAUUGAACCGCAUGGUUCAAUAGUGAAAGACGGUUUUGCUGGCACUUCUAGAUGGAUCCGCGCCGGAUUAGGUAGUUGGUAAGGUAAAGGCUUACCAAGGCAACGAUGGGUAGCAGGCCUGAGAGGGUGAUCGGCCACACUGGAACUGAGACACGGUCCAGACUCCUACGGGAGGCAGCAGUAGGGAAUCUUCCGCAAUGGGCGAAAGCUUGACGGAGCAACGCCGCGUGAGUGAUGAAGGUCUUCGGAUCGUAAAACUCUGUUAUUAGGGAAGAACAAAUGUGUAAGUAACUAUGCACGUCUUGACGGUACCUAAUCAGAAAGCCACGGCUAACUACGUG
rnacentral:rRNA from 1 species